AAUGGCACCACCUACCUCCUUGACUUCGGAUGAAAAACUGUUGGAAAUCUGGGGACUGACAGAGAAUUGACAAACCUCAACGAAAGUGCAUACCACCAAUGGCAACCGCCACCAAUAGAAUCAAGGAUUUCACUGGCCCGCCACUCAUCACAUUCCAGUUUACGCACAUCAGCAACGAAUGCGUAUGGGGCAGGGAGGUCACGAACUACCUCCUUGACUUCGGAUGAACAACUGUGGGACCACUGUGGGGACUGACAGUGACAAAGGAUGGGCAAGCCUCUCCCAACAAGAGUGCAUACCAACGGCUACCGUUACCGCUAGAAUCAAGUGCAAGUUAAACUGAGAUCGUAGACACUGAGGGGAUUGUAGGCAAAAGUUAAGAACUCGUUUACAAAUGGGCGGAGGUGGUGACUUGU